UACACGACCGUACCGCAAACCGACACUGGUGCGCGAGAUGAGUAUUCUAAGGCGCUUGAGAGAACUCAGGAGAAGGAACUCGGCAAAUUGACACCGUAACUUCGGAAGAAGGUGUGCCUUUAGUAGGUGAACCAUUUACUUGGGGAGCCCAAUGAGGCUGCAAAAAAUCGGUGGCUGCAACUGUUUAUUAAAAACACAGCACUCUGCUAAGACGAAAGUCGACGUAUAGGGUGUGACGCCUGCCCGGUGCUGGAAGAUUAAAUGAUGGGGUGCAAGCUCUUGAUUGAAGUCCCAGUAAACGGCGGCCGUAACUAUAACGGUCCUAAGGUAGCGAAAUUCCUUGUCGGGUAAGUUCCGACCUGCACGAAUGGCGUAAUGAUGGCCACACUGUCUCCUCCUGAGACUCAGCGAAGUUGAAAUGUUUGUGAUGAUGCAAUCUCCCCGCGGAAAGACGGAAAGACCCCAUGAACCUUUACUGUAGCUUUGUAUUGGACUUUGAACAGAUCUGUGUAGGAUAGGUGGGAGGCUUUGAAGUGUGGUCGCUAGAUCGCAUGGAGCCAACGUUGAAAUACCACCCUGGUGUGUUUGAGGUUCUAACCUAGGUCCAUUAUCUGGAUCGGGGACAGUGCAUGGUAGGCAGUUUGACUGGGGCGGUCUCCUCCCAAAGUGUAACGGAGGAGUUCGAAGGUACGCUAGGUACGGUCGGACAUCGUGCUAAUAGUGCAAUGGCAUAAGCGUGCUUAACUGCGAGACUGACAAGUCGAGCAGAUGCGAAAGCAGGACAUAGUGAUCCGGUGGUUCUGUAUGGAAGGGCCAUCGCUCAACGGAUAAAAGGUACUCUGGGGAUAACAGGCUGAUACCGCCCAAGAGUUCAUAUCGACGGCGGUGUUUGGCACCUCGAUGUCGGCUCAUCUCAUCCUGGGGCUGUAGCCGGUCCCAAGGGUAUGGCUGUUCGCCAUUUAAAGAGGUACGUGAGCUGGGUUUAAAACGUCGUGAGACAGUUUGGUCCCUAUCUUCCGUGGGCGCUGCGGAUUUGAGGAAGCCUGCUCCUAGUACGAGAGGACCGGAGUGGACGAACCUCUGGUGUAUCGGUUGUCACGCCAGUGGCAUUGCCGAGUAGCUAAGUUCGGAAGAGAUAACCGCUGAAAGCAUCUAAGCGGGAAACUCGUUUCAAGAUUAGAUCUGCCGGGGCCUUGAGCCCCCUAAAGAGUCGUUCAAGACCAGGACGUUGAUAGGUCAGGUGUGGAAGCGAGAAAA
rnacentral:rRNA from 1 species